rnacentral:rRNA from 1 species
GCCUAGGAAUCUGCCUGGUAGUGGGGGACAACGUUUCGAAAGGAACGCUAAUACCGCAUACGUCCUACGGGAGAAAGCAGGGGACCUUCGGGCCUUGCGCUAUCAGAUGAGCCUAGGUCGGAUUAGCUAGUUGGUGAGGUAAUGGCUCACCAAGGCGACGAUCCGUAACUGGUCUGAGAGGAUGAUCAGUCACACUGGAACUGAGACACGGUCCAGACUCCUACGGGAGGCAGCAGUGGGGAAUAUUGGACAAUGGGCGAAAGCCUGAUCCAGCCAUGCCGCGUGUGUGAAGAAGGUCUUCGGAUUGUAAAGCACUUUAAGUUGGGAGGAAGGGCAGUAAAUUAAUACUUUGCUGUUUUGACGUUACCGACAGAAUAAGCACCGGCUAACUCUGUGCCAGCAGCCGCGGUAAUACAGAGGGUGCAAGCGUUAAUCGGAAUUACUG